GGCACAGAGCCGCCCUCAGACUACUUGCCACCUGAACCUCCUCCACACAGAGACAAGGGGAUGCGGCACAUGGUGGGUCCUGAUUGGCGCCAGCUCUUCGAUGUGGUCAUUGUCCAGGCAGACAAGCCCAGCUUCUUCACUGACCGGCGCAAGUAUGGGCAUGGUGGGGGUUGCAGGGCAGGGAAGGGGAAUAGAGGCCCCACCCCAAUGAGGGGACUGAAGGAGGAGGCCAACCUGGCCCUUGCCCACUGCCCAAUGUGCUUGGGGUGAGAACACCCCCUUGCUGGCAUGGAUCCACUUGAGCAGGUGGGCCUUUACGGAGGAGGGAUGGGGGUUGCCCGGCCCGUGGCCCAGCCACAGACUGGAAGUCAAGCCCUUUACCUGCACCCCAGGCCUUUCAGAAAACUCGAUGAGAAGGGCUCACUUCAGUGGGACCGGAUCACCCGCUUGGAAAAGGGCAAGAUCUAUCGGCAGGGAAACCUGUUUGACUUCUUACGCUUGACGGAAUGGCGUGGCCCCCGCGUGCUCUACUUCGGGGACCACCUCUAUAGUGAUCUGGCGGAUCUCAUGCUGCGGCACGGCUGGCGCACAGGCGCCAUCAUCCCCGAGCUGGAGCGUGAGAUCCGCAUCAUCAACACGGAGCAGUACAUGCACUCGCUGACAUGGCAGCAGGCGCUCACGGGGCUGCUGGAGCGCAUGCAGACCUAUCAGGACGCAGAGUCGAGGCAGGUGCUGGCUGCCUGGAUGAAAGAGCGGCAGGAGCUGAGGUGCAUCACCAAGGCCCUGUUCAACGCGCAGUUCGGCAGCAUCUUCCGCACCUUCCACAACCCCACCUACUUCUCAAGGCGCCUCGUGCGCUUCUCUGACCUCUACAUGGCCUCCCUCA
rnacentral:sRNA from 1 species